UCCUCGAGUAACGGCGAGUGAAAGGGGAAAAGCUCAGCGUGUAGCCUCGGGGAUGCCCUCCAAGUGAGUGUGUUAAUCCUACGAUGGGAUGCCACGUAAGGGAGAAUGCUAGAAGAGUACGCGACCCGGCAAUCCGAACUGUUUGAUGAAACAUUGCCCAGAGAGGGUGUUAGGCCCGUAGGACCGGAACGUCGUUAUUUUUCGCGGUAUUCUCUCGAGAGUCGGGUUGUUUGAGAAUACAGCCUUAAGAGGUGGGAAACUCCAUCUAAAGCUAAAUAUUACUGCGAGACCGAUAGCGAACAAGUACCGUGAGGGAAAGUUGAAAAGGACUCUGAAGAGAGGGUUCAAGAGAGCGUGAAACUGCCACGGGGAUAAAGCGGAUACAUUAGCGUAGUCGAAAAGGGAGAUACAGCUCGUUCGCCGUCGACCUCUCGGGUUCCGACGAUCAUAGGGAAUUAUCCCGGGGGAAUGCGCGUUUGCGCGUGUAUUUCAUCCGGUUCUUGGUUCCUCUUGGCUCGGUCCGAUAGAAGCGUACGUUCACGAACGAGUCUACUUCACACCUUAGUAGGCCGUCGCGACGGUUGGAUUUGUGUUGUCUAAGGCUUUUUAGGGAGGUCUCGGGAACCUUUCGUCACGGGACGGGGACGGAUUCGUUCCUCCCGUUUCCGGCGACGAAGGGGAACGCUCUCAAGAAUUUACUGGCGGACACUCCGACCGGAGAAAUAGACGUUGCUAUUAAUACGUAACGUAAGUGCGGCGCUCCAUAGCGACCAAUUUAUCCGUCCCGUCUUGAAACACGGACCAAGGAGUCUAACAUGUACGCGAGUCAAAGGGCCUUAUUAAACCCCUAGGCGUAAUGAAAGUAAACGGAUUGAUCCGUGCUCCCUGUUUUACACAGGGACCGGCGCAAAUCCGGGACCCGUCUUACUGCUUUAUCGCUUCAUCGCUUUAUUGUUCACGUGGCGGGUACCUGGAGCGUACACGUUGGUACCCGAAAGAUGGUGAUCUAUGCUUGGCCGGGAUGAAGCCAGAGG
rnacentral:rRNA from 1 species